GGAAGGAUCGCCUAAUGGUAUGGCACUGGGUUGCUAACUCAGCAGGUAUAAUGCCUAUCAGGGUUCGACUCCCUGUCCUUCCGCCA
rnacentral:tRNA from 1 species